ensembl:lncRNA
AGCUGCUCUCAGGCUGAAGGUGAAUGGUGUGUGGCAACCUGUGUACCAAGCUUCUACCUGUGGAUUUACCUUGGAAGUUGUGGGAGGUGGACUGACCCUCACUGCACCAUAUGCAAGCAACUGCUGGCAAUUUGAGGGUGCCAAGAUGCUUUUGUCUGUGCAAUACAUGGAUAGGGAGUUGACCUUGUCCUGCCCAGCUGUUCAGCCCCCAGCUACUACUCCUUUACCUGCUCACAUGGAUCCUGGAGCUUCCACAGAUGCCCCCAUGACCACCUUGGCUACUACGGUUGCACCAGCUAGUGCUAAGCUGCCUUUGUAUCCUUGGUUACGUGGACUGUAUUAUCCUCAUGGUUAUGGAAUGCCAUGGAAUUUCCCAUAUGGCCAUCCUGGAACUCCCCCAGUUACCCAGACCACUACAUCUACUCCAGCUGCUGCUGCUACUACAUCUACUCCAGCUGCUGCUGCUACUACAUCUACUCCAGCUGCUGCUGCUACUACAUCUACUCCAGCUGCUGCUGCUACUACAUCUACUCCAGCUGCUGCUGCUACUACAUCUACUCCAGCGGCCACAGUCGCACCAGCUAGUGCUGGUUCAGAUGCCUUUGUAUCCUUGGUUAUCUGGAAUGUAUUAUCCUAGUGGUUAUGGAAUGACAUGGAAUUUCCCAUAUGGCCGGCCUGGAACUCCCCCAGUUACCCAGACCACUACAACUACUCCGGCUACUACAACUACUCCAGCUGCCACUGUUGCACCAGCUAGUGCUGGUCAGCUGCCUUUGUAUCCUUGGUUAUCUGGAAUGUAUAUCCUAGUGGUUAUGGAAUGCCAUGGAAUUUCCCAUAUGGCCAGCCUGGAACUCCCCCAGUUACCCAGACCACUACAACUACUCCAGCUACCACUACAUCUACUCCAGCUGCUGCUGCUACUACAUCUACUCCAGCUGCUGCUGCUACUACAUCUACUCCAGCUGCUGCUGCUACUACAUCUACUCCAGCUGCUGCUGCUACUACAUCUACUCCAGCGGCCACAGUCGCACCAGCUAGUGCUGGUCAGAUGCCUUUGUAUCCUUGGUUAUCUGGAAUGUAUUAUCCUAGUGGUUAUGGGAAUGACAUGGAAUUUCCCAUAUGGCCGGCCUGGAACUCCCCCAGUUACCCAGACCACUACAACUACUCCGGCUACUACAACUACUCCAGCUGCCACUGUUGCACCAGCUAGUGCUGGUCAGCUGCCUUUGUAUCCUUGGUUAUCUGGAAUGUAUUAUCCUAGUGGUUAUGGAAUGCCAUGGAAUUUCCCAUAUGGCCAGCCUGGAACUCCCCCAGUUACCCAGACCACUACAACUACUCCAGCUGUCACAGUUGCACCAGCUAGUGCUGGUCAGCUGCCUUUGUAUCCUUGGUUAUCUGGAAUGUAUUAUCCUAGUGGUUAUGGAAUGCCAUGGAAUUUCCCAUAUGGCCAGCCUGGAACUCCCCAGUUACCCAGACCACUACAACUACUCCGGCUACUACAACUACUCCAGCUGCCACUGUUGCACCAGCUAGUGCUGGUCAGCUGCCUUUGUAUCCUUGGUUACCUGGAAUGUAUAAACCUUAUGUCCCUAUGGGUUCACCUGGUGCUCCAGUAUCUGGCCCCAACAGUGGGGUUAAACAGCAGAUGUACCAAAUGCCCUGGAUGAAUGCUUAUCCCCAAGUACCUGGCUUGAAAUCAAACGCCAGGCUCUCCAGUGGUUAACCCAUCCAAAUUUGUAAGGUCCGGCUAAUUUUCUCCACUACAGGUCGGCGCACGUCCAGGAAAAUGAGCAAUACUAUACUGUGGUUAUCAAAUGGAGGUGGUGAUGGAUCAAUAAAAACAAAAAUUCAAAAUGG